rnacentral:rRNA from 1 species
AUUGAACGCUGGCGGCAUGCCUUACACAUGCAAGUCGAACGGUAACAGGUUAAGCUGACGGGUGGCGAACGGGUGAGUAAUAUAUCGGAACGUGCCCAGUUGUGGGGGAUAACUACUCGAAAGAGUGGCUAAUACCGCAUGAGACCUGAGGGUGAAAGCGGGGGAUCGCAAGACCUCGCGCAAUUGGAGCGGCCGAUAUCAGAUUAGCUAGUUGGCGGGAUAAAAGCCCACCAAGGCGACGAUCUGUAGCUGGUCUGAGAGGACGACCAGCCACACUGGGACUGAGAAACGGCCCAGACUCCUACGGGAGGCAGCAGUGGGGAAUUUUGGACAAUGGACGCAAGUCUGAUCCAGCCAUGCCGCGUGCGGGAAGAAGGCCUUCGGGUUGUAAACCGCUUUUGUCAGGGAAGAAACGGCUUUCUCUAAUACAGAGAGCUAAUGACGGUACCUGAAGAAUAAGCACCGGCUAACUACGUGCCAGCCGCCGCUGUAAUAC